UCCUACGGGGCGCAGCAGUAGGGAAUUUUCGUCAAUGGGCGCAAGCCUGAACGAGCAAUGCCGCGUGAACGAGGAAGGUCUUCGGAUCGUAAAGUUCUGUUGAAGGGGAAAAAGAGCGGAGAGAGGAAAUGAACUCCGAUUGAUAUUACCCUUCGAGGAAGUCACGGCUAACUACGUGCCAGCAGCCGCGGUAAUACGUAGGGGGCUAGCGUUAUCCCGAAUUACUGGGCGUAAAGGGUGCGUAGGUGGUUUCUUAAGUCAGAGGUGAAAGGCUACGGCUCAACCGUAGUAAGCCUUUGAAACUG
rnacentral:rRNA from 1 species